AAACAAGCAAAACUGGGAUUCAUCCUGUCCUGCUGUGGAGUUUUCCUACUGGUGAUGCUUGGGUGCCCUUGGGGUGUUUGAAAGGAGAGGCUGGAAGGUGCCAUGGAGCCUUGCAGAUGCUCCAUACCUAAUUCUGAGGGGCUGCAUGGGCUUGGGAGUGGAAGCUGUAUGUACCUUCUGAGCUUCCAGACUGGUGGCUUGAUCACUUGGACCAAAGGACAGCUAAGCUGCAACAGUCAAGACUCAUCAAAGGCCGACUGGGUGGUGAGAUUUUCACAUUCUUACCUUCCUCCUUCUCUCCCUCCCUCCUUUUUCUCUCUCUUUUCUCUUAUACGUGUCCUUGGGUGAUAUUUUUGUAGUUUCAUGUUGUUGGAAAUGAUGUAACUUUUAAAAUUUUUGAAGUAACUUUAGUCAUGUAUGCCUUUGCCAAAGGGGAAAGAGGGGAUGGCGGGGGAGGGUGGAAUUAAGAUUUCUCUUCAAAAGACUAUUCACCCAGGGUUUGAACUUCACUAGGUGAGGCCUGAGGGGCUUCAACAACAAAAAUCAACAUCUACAGGUUGGGAGUAGCAAGAAGAUAGAGAUAAAUGGACAUUAACAAAUCUGCCCUUGUUAGGCUGGCGUCAUCUGGUCUGGAGAAAGAUAGAUUGAUAAGAGAACCAAAGAAUGAGGACCAAAUUAGCAUCAAAGAUGAAUCCAGUAGGAGAAGGAGUACUGAGAACUGUAUAAUGUAGAACCAAUGAAUGAGAAUUUCUUUGGGUUUUAAAUGUAUAAAUGUGUGAGAAGUCUGGCAAAGAACUAGGUGAGCUGGAAAGAUUUCUACUGCACAUCCUGUCUGGAAUAAAGUAAUGGCUGAUUCUGUAACACUUGGAAGAUGGUAUUGGAGAGUUUCUUUUAUUCCUGCAGCUUUGGUGACAAUUUUGCAGUACUUUCAUACUGUUAUAUUACUAUAGAUAAUCAAAACAGCUAGGUACCUGCUUUCCUUUGCAACCAACUUGUUCAUAAAUAAAACCUAUGUACUUGUA